rnacentral:sRNA from 1 species
UUCGUUUGCGGAUGAUUGAUGAAAAAUC